AAAGGAACUCGGCAAAAUGGCCCCGUAACUUAGGGAUAAAGGGUGCCUCAGAAAUGAGGCCGCAGAGAAUAGGCUCAAGCAACUGUUUAGCAAAAACACAGGUCUAUGCGAAGCCGAAAGGUGAGGUAUAUGGGCUGACGCCUGCCCGGUGCUGGAAGGUUAAGAGGAGAGGUUAGCGCAAGCGAAGCUUUGAAUUUAAGCCCCAGUAAACGGCGGCCGUAACGAUAACGGUCCUAAGGUAGCGAAAUUCCUUGUCGGGUAAGUUCCGACCCGCACGAAAGGCGUAAUGAUUUGAGCGCUGUCUCGACAAUGCAUCCGGUGAAAUUGAAGUACCAGUGAAGAUGCUGGUUACCUGCGCCAGGACGGAAAGACCCCAUGGAGCUUUACUCCAGUUUGGUACUGGGACUCGGUAUUGCAUGUACAGGAUAGGUGGGAGGCUAGGAGAUAGUAACGCCAGUUAUUAUGGAGCCGCUGUUGGGAUACCACCCUUGCAGUAUUGGGUUUCUAACCAGCCGCCGUGACCCGGCGGUGGGACAAUGCCAGACGGGGAGUUUGACUGGGGCGGUCGCCUCCGAAAGGGUAUCGGAGGCGCCCAAAGGUUCCCUCAGAAUGGACGGAAACCAUUCGAAGAGUGCAAAGGCAGAAGGGAGCUUGACUGCGACACCGACGGGUGGAGCAGGUACGAAAGUAGGGCUUAGUGAUCCGGUGGUAUUAAGUGGGAAUGCCAUCGCUCAACGGAUAAAAGCUACCCUGGGGAUAACAGGCUUAUCACUCCCAAGAGUUCACAUCGACGGAGUGGUUUGGCACCUCGAUGUCGGCUCAUCGCAUCCUGGGGCUGUAGUAGGUCCCAAGGGUUGGGCUGUUCGCCCAUUAAAGCGGUACGCGAGCUGGGUUCAGAACGUCGUGAGACAGUUCGGUCCCUAUCCGGCGUGGGCGUAGGAUAUCUGAGAGGAGCUGUCCUUAGUACGAGAGGACCGGGAUGGACGGGCCGCUGGUGCAUCGGUUAGACUGCCAAGUCUACGGCCGAGUAGCCAAGCCCGGAAGGGAUAAACGCUGAAGGCAUCUAAGCGUGAAGCCCCCCUUAAGAUGAGAUAUCCCAUUCGAAAGAAGUAAACCCCCUUGAAGACGACGAGGUAGAUAGGGCAGAGGUGGAAGUGUGGCAACACAUGGAGCUGACUGUUACUAAUCGGGUGAGGGCUUGACC
rnacentral:rRNA from 1 species